GGAGUUGGCCAGGCAGCCGCUGCCCGCCCACGUACGCGUGGCCGGGUGGAGGAAAGUCCGGGCUCCGCAGGGCAGGGUGCCAGGUAACACCUGGGCGGCGCGAGCCGAUGGAAAGCGCCACAGAAAAUAUACCGCCGAAGCUCGCAAGAGCUGGUAAGGGUGAAAUGGUGCGGUAAGAGCGCACCGCACGGGUGGCAACAUUCCGUGGCAGGGCAAGCCCCACCCGGAGUAAGGCCAAAUAGGGGAACCAUAGUGCGGCCCGCACUGUUCCCGGGUAGGCCGCAUGAGGCGUUUGGUGACAGACGCCCCAGAUGAAUGGCUGUCCACGACAGAACCCGGCUUACCGGCCAACUCCUUUU
rnacentral:RNase_P_RNA from 1 species